UAUAAUUAUUAUGAUGAUUCCAUAGUUCAACUGAUAGAACUAUGAUGAUAAUUUAAUUUUAUAGUCUUUCGCUCCUAUCUGACAUUUAUA
rnacentral:snoRNA from 1 species